rnacentral:rRNA from 1 species
UUUAUAUGGCCCCCGCGACGCGGUUAGACUUAGGGCAGCGCAAGCUCUUUAUGAGCAAAGGGGCGUAAAGGGUGUGUAGGCCGACCGCCCCACCCCCCCCAAGGUGGUAAAUGGAAUUUUUCUGUAGCGGUAGAAUGUGCGGAUAGAAAAUAGAACCCCAAAAGCUGAAGCAAUUUACCGCGGGGCGGGAGGGGGGGCCCCCUGGGGCGCCCCCCCGGGCUACGGGGUGAAACACGAGGGUGUGGGGAACAAACUGGAUUCGAGACCCUGGUAGUCCACCCUGUAAACGAUUCGUUGAAAAUGCUGAAUGCAUUCCCCUUUGAAAGGUAGCGUAUCUCCCGCCUGAGUAGUACGAACUAACGCUACAGAUCUAACCUCUCCAAAAAUUUGGCUGUUCACACGUUUCGAUUAGAGGAGCGUGUAUUUUAAUCUUGCGAUAAUUCUACUCCCGCGGGAUACCUUACCCUUUCUUGACUGCUUUCGGAUUUUCUCAAGGCAUCCUUUAUGGACCGGUAUUAGCAUGGUCGUCGUCAGUUCGUGUUUGUUCCCCACACCUUAACCGGUUUCAACCCGAGGAUUAGCCGGGGGUGCCACAGUGGGGUCUUAUGGUCCCCCCUGUUUGGGGAUAAUAUGUUUCCGCUACUUUUUUUUUUACAUUUUGGAUCAACCCAUUGUAGGUGAAUCCCAAAAGUGAGAGUUCCAUUUACCGGCUUGAUUGGAAGAUGGGCGAACGGUCUGAUUUACCCUUUACCCCCCUUUGUUCAUUUCCGCUUGAAAUGAUCUAUCUGUUACGCACAGUCGGGCCCGUAAAAAAA